UGGGGAAUAUUGGACAAUGGGCGAAAGCCUGAUCCAGCCAUGCCGCGUGUGUGAAGAAGGUCUUCGGAUUGUAAAGCACUUUAAGUUGGGAGGAAGGGCAUUAACCUAAUACGUUAGUGUUUUGACGUUACCGACAGAAUAAGCACCGGCUAACUCUGUGCCAGCAGCCGCGGUAAUACAGAGGGUGCAAGCGUUAAUCGGAAUUACUGGGCGUAAAGCGCGCGUAGGUGGUUUGUUAAGUUGGAUGUGAAUUCCCCGGGCUCCACCUGGGAACUGCAUUCAAAACUGACUGACUAGAGUAUGGUAGAGGGUGGUGGAAUUUCCGGUGUAGCGGUGAAAUGCGUAGAUAUAGGAAGGAACACCAGUGGCGAAGGCGACCACCUGGACUAAUACUGACACUGAGGUGCGAAAGCGUGGGGAGCAAACA
rnacentral:rRNA from 1 species